GGGGCUGUGCUGCAGAGAGGAACUGCAUGGUAGAAAACCAGCUAGAAGGUCCUGUGGGUGCCUGGAAAGGUACUUUGCUCACUCCAACAGGUCUGCAGUGAGGAGGAAGAUGCUUAAGUGAGAGAAAGAAAACUUUAGAUGGUCAAAUGUGUCUGCACUAAAAAAAGAGCAGGGUGAAGUCUGUAAGAGCUGGCAGCCUGGAGAAAGAAAGGUGUGGAGAGGAAGGGAAGGCUCCUGGAGGGAGGAAUGGCCCCCUGUCUGUUUCUGCAUGGCUGUUAUGCUAAUGGAGAAGAACAGCCCUCAGGCCCUGGAGUCCUAAAUCUUGAGCUUGUUAUUACACCCUAAUGUACACGGCACUCCACAAAACAAGAGGAUGCCUAGGCUGCGUUGUCAGGGAUGAGUUUGGGAGGCUCCUGUAGUGCUGCUCUCAGGGGAGGGGUGUGUCUGUGCUUUUCUUUUCUCCUGUCACCUGCUGAGCCCCAGCAAAAAACCCUUCCAGCAGUGGGGGAAGGCUUUUCUUGCAACAAUCCUUAUCCGUGGGGACCAGGAUUAAGCUACAGCCCUCCACGACUCAUUUACCACACUCCACCAAACAGCCUUCGGUUGGUAAUAAUUUUCACUCACUGCAGUUUUGUGUUUGGAGAAUUAAUUGCUUUAAUAAGGAGCUUAAUUAGAAGUGCAAAAGUAGAAUAAGCAGCAGAAAUGUUGGAUAAGGGCUGAAGAACGUUUCCAUAAAGAGAAAUGCUGCCCUCCUGGUAGGAAGGGGUGUUGAGUCAAAUGAUUGCAUGGAUGUGUCCUGCAGCUGGGUUCACACCUGGCUGCUGCUUCUCCUGGCAAAGCCACCCAGCAAUGGUCUGGUACAGGGGUCUGUGCUCAGGGGAGCUCUGAGGAGCUGCUCUGUUGGGAAAAAAUGUGCUUUUUGUGGCCAAACAGCAUUUCCAGGCUGCCAGAGGCUUUCUCAACAGGUCUUGAUGUGCAAUCCCAAAUUUUUUAAUGUCCUGGGAUGUUAGGAUACCAGAGCAAAAGCAGGGGCUGCAGCCUUCCUGAUGGCAAAGCACAGAGCAGUGCACCUUUGCCACCCCUCGCCUGCAGGCUGUUUGCACAGCCUGGUCAUUCCCCCAGUGAAAAUGAACAUUUCUGACUCCAGCUGAGUUGAAGUGCUUCAGGAACAAAUGAACUCCAAGGCAGAAAUAGGCUAUUUUCCCUCCUCCCCCCUGAAGCAGCUAUCAGCAAGGAAAAAACCCCUCAAUUUUCAGGGCAACUGAAUCCAUUUGCAAAUGCAUGUCAAGUACGACAAAUAGUUUGGGCUUAAAUAAUGGAGGGUGGCUUUUUUUCAGUCUAAAUGUUUUAUUCCCACAGUUCCCAAACAAAACAUUUCCCUUUUUCAUUUUGAAAUAAUGUUCUGUUUUGAAACAUGAUUUUUUAAAAAAAGAGCAUAAAACAAAACAUAAGCCCUCAAAAUGAAGUAAAUGGCACUGCAUUUCUGUGUCAAAAGCAAGGAUUUAGCCAACGCAGUGUGUUUAUUUUUUUCCAUGGUAGGUGUCAGCAAGCAAACUGGAAAAUCUGCAUUUCUGGACAACAUGAAAUUAUUCUUCUUUUGCACUCCUAACACAGAGCUCAGAAAUCAAUUUUCACAGGUUCAUUUUCUGAGCAAUCUCAUCGCUGCUGUCAAAAUGAUCUCUCUACUCUUAUUUGUACCCAAAACGGGCAGAUAAAGAAUAUUCUUGAUGAGGAGGUGCAAUUCCUCUUCCUGUGUCAGCCAAGCCCAUUGGCAUUGCUCUGAUCUAAAGAAGAUGGAUCUUUCCCCCCCUUUCCCCCCAGAGCAGCUCACGUUUCUGGUGAUCAGGAUCAGUGCCACCACCUUGUUCUCCCACAGCACCUGAACUUCCCGUGGCCCUGAUUGUUUAAUUAAGCCUUGCAACGAUGCUGUGAGAUACACAAAGCACACACACAGUGACUGCUGCCAAAAUGCUCAUCUGUCAGUGUUGCAGUCUUUUCUCUGCUUUUAUUUUUUCCCCUCUCUCAGCCUCGCUUUGCACUUGGGCUUUCACAGCCGUUGCUGCCUGGUUCCUUUCUGACUCUGUGGGUAAAUUGGCUGAUGGCAUAUCUAUCCCGUGCACUCAGACAAAUCACACUGCUGAGAACUAUUUAUGGUCCCCUAAGCAUUGCCUGAUUAACUUACUUGGCUGGCGUGCAGGGCUGCCUUGCCAGCUGACAGAGGGAGCCGAUGACACGAGGUGCUUGCGCUCCUUGUGUCCCUUGCAAGCCUGGGGGAGGCAGAGGGCUGCCCAGCGAUAAUCACAGAGGAAGAAGCUCAGCCACCAGGGGCUGGCAUGUCCCAGGCCAAGGCUUGGCUGGUGCAGCUUGCUGGGGUUGUGACUGUAGCCUGCACAUUGUUCAGGAGGUACCUGUCAGCCAGCGCCACUGUGCUUUAGCUCUGCUUUGCAGGGGAAGUAGCUGAGGAAAACCCUGAUUUCAGGAAGAGAAUGUUUUUGGAAUGUUUUCUAGACGUUUCCCUGAACCAGCUGUGAGGGUCUGAUCCUUCUCUGUCAAGCACUCACUGCCAGCUCCUAUGCCUGGUGCGGGUGGGUGUCUGAUGUGCUGCAUCCUGCACGGGUGCAAAUGUCCUGUUCCACACACACAGGAAACAUGCAGGUCCUCUUGUGUUUGUAGCUGACGGAAAAGGGCCCGGUAUCUUUCCACGCUCUGGAUGGCCGGUUUCACGCUUGUUUCCCCGCUGCAGGUCCCGGUGAGCAUCCCCGGCCGUGUCUCGCUGUAGCAGCUCUGUUGGCUGCUCAGGAGGGGAAAUGCAAAUGCAGCUGCCAAGAGAUGGCGCAGAGGCACUGUCACUGCCAGGAGAUGGGGACAGAGCUGCUCCGGCACACGGGGCUGCUGGCUCUGCCUCUCCUCUCUGUUUGCAGGCAUGGGGGAAGGGCCGAGCAGCUUUGUGGUACGAGGGCUGCACAGCCCGGUGUGCUCCAGCGCCUGCCUGUGCCUGGAAUGGUGGAACAGCACCGCUCUGUUUCUCCAUGCGUCCCAAAUAUUUGCA